rnacentral:rRNA from 1 species
CAGUCGCCGCGGUAAUACGAAGGGUGCAAGCGUUAAUCGGAAUUACUGGGCGUAAAGCGUGCGUAGGCGGUGAGUUAAGACUGCUGUGAAAUCCCCGGGCUCAACCUGGGAAUGGCAGUGGAUACUGGCUCGCUAGAGUGUGUCAGAGGAUGGUGGAAUUCCCGGUGUAGCGGUGAAAUGCGUUGAGAUCGGAAGGAACGCCCGUGGCGAAAGCGAGGCCCUGGACCCUUACCGACGCUGAGACGCGAAAGCCAGGGGAGCGAACGGGAUUAGAUACCCCAGUAGUCCCUGUCUCUUAUAC